GAUGAACGCUGGCGGCGUGCCUAAUACAUGCAAGUCGAGCGAACAGACGAGGAGCUUGCUCCUCUGACGUUAGCGGCGGACGGGUGAGUAACACGUGGAUAACCUACCUAUAAGACUGGGAUAACUUCGGGAAACCGGAGCUAAUACCGGAUAAUAUAUUGAACCGCAUGGUUCAAUAGUGAAAGACGGUUUUGCUGUCACUUAUAGAUGGAUCCGCGCCGCAUUAGCUAGUUGGUAAGGUAACGGCUUACCAAGGCAACGAUGCGUAGCCGACCUGAGAGGGGGGUCGGCCACACUGGAGCUGAGACACGGUCCAGACUCCUACGGGAGGCAGCAGUAGGGAAUCUUCCGCAAUGGGCGGAAGCCUGACGGAGCGACGCCGCGUGAGUGAUGAAGGUCUUCGGAUCGUAAAACUCUGUUAUUAGGGAAGAACAAAUGUGUAAGUAACUAUGCACGUCUUGACGGUACCUAAUCAGAAAGCCACGGCUAACUACGUG
rnacentral:rRNA from 1 species